GUCAUAGACCAAGCCGCCCUGAAUGUGCCCUAUCUCGUGUGAUCUCGGAAGCUUAAGCAGGGUCGGGCCUGGUUAGUACUUGGAUGGGAGACCACCUAGGAAGACCAGGCACUAUAGUCG
rnacentral:rRNA from 1 species